CACCCCACUUGAAGAGAAUAAAUCUAAAUUACAGGAUGUAAUACCUCAGCCGCUGCUAGAUCAGUAUGUGUCCAUGACUGACCCAGCUCGAGCCCAGACUGUCGAUACUGACAUAGCCAAACACUGUGCCUACAGCCUCCCAGGGGUGGCACUGACCCUGGGCAGGCAAAAUUGGCACUGCCUGAAAGAUACAUAUGAAACACUGGCUUCUGAUGUACAGUGGAAGGUACGGCGAGCCCUAGCCUUCUCCAUUCACGAGCUGGCUGUGAUUCUUGGGGAUCAGUUAACAGCAGCUGACCUGGUGCCUAUCUUCAAUGGAUUUUUAAAGGAUCUGGAUGAAGUGCGAAUAGGAGUUCUUAGACACCUGUAUGAUUUUCUAAAGUUGCUUCAUGAAGACAAGAGGAGAGACUAUCUUUAUCAGCUUCAAGAAUUUGUAGUGACUGAUAACAGCAGGAAUUGGAGGUUUCGAUAUGAACUAGCAGAACAGCUGAUACUGAUUCUGGAACUCUAUAGUCCCAAUGAUGUUUAUGAUUACCUAAUGCACAUUGCCUUAAAGUUGUGUGCAGAUCAAGUUUCUGAAGUUCGGUGGAUCUCCUUCAAACUAGUCGUGGCAAUUCUGCAGAAGUUCUAUUCCAACAGUGAAAGUGCAUUGGGGUUAAAUUUCAUCAAUGAGCUCAUCAUAAGGUUCCGGCACUGUUCUAAAUUCUGAAAUGACUUCUUUGGGAUUAAAGAAGUGUAUGUUUCUAGAAGACUGCGGAAAACAUCAUUUCUUUGGCUGUGACUUUCUUGGAGCAGGCAGUGGUGAGCAAGGAGUGUGUCCCCGUGGACCAGUUCAUGGAGCACCUGCU
rnacentral:lncRNA from 1 species